ensembl:snRNA U6 U6 spliceosomal RNA
GUGCUCAGUUUGGCAGCACAUAUACCAAAAUUGGAAUGAUAGAGAAGAUUAGUAUGGCCCUUGGGCAAGGAUAACACCCAAAUAUGCAAAGCGUUUCAUAGUUUC